rnacentral:rRNA from 1 species
ACUUAUUUUUAAUAAAAGGUAAAAUUAGGAUAUUAUUAAAUAAGGGAAAUUAAUUGAAGUUGAAGCUAAAAAGAUUCAGUUAAAAACUAGGAUUAGAUACCCUAUUAUUCUGAAUUAAAAGUAGGACUACUAAACUAGUAAUAGUUAGUUACUUAAAAAUUAAAAAAUUUGGCGGUGAUUUAAUCUUUCCAGAGGAACUUGUUUCUUAAUCGAUACACCACGUAGAAUCUUACUUAUUUUUGCGUAUAUAAGCAGUUUGUAUACCAUCAUUAACAGGUAAUUCCAAGAGGACAAAUUACUAGCUUAUAAUUAGUUAGAAAAAUUAGAUCAUGGUGCAGCAUAUAAAUAAGUUGAAAUGAGUUACAAUAAAUUAUUUUAGACGGAGCAGUAAAUGAAAUUCUAUUGUAAAGGAGGAUUUGGUUGUAUUAUAAUUUUAAUAUGUUUAUAAGAUAUAAGUUCUAAAUCAUGUACAUAUCGCCCGUCGCUUUCGU